CUGAAGCUUACAGCAGUAGUACAGUGGGUUAGUGCCUUACAAAUGACCUUCCUAGGUACAGCUGUGUUGGAAGGCUGCACUUGUGUUUGCAGCUCAUUUUAAUCUCAUACCAUAUGGAAGUGAUUGCAUGCCAUCAACAGCAAAGGAAAACCUGAGGAGACAUGCUUCAGUCUUCUGAUCAUCCUCACAGUCUUCCUCUGGACCUACUCCAACAAGUCUGUGUUCUUGUUCUGGGGAUACCAGAGCUGAAGAGCAAUACUCCAUGUGGCAUCUCUCAAGAGUGAGGUAGAGGGAGUGAAA